rnacentral:tmRNA from 1 species
GGGGGCGAACUGGAUUCGACGGGGAUGUGAGAUACGGGCUGCAUGUCGGGGCUUCGCGGACCUCGUCAAAAACCGCGAAAAGCAAAACUGCCAACGACAACUUGGCCCUGGCUGCUUGAUUGACAGCCACGUCCGCCCGGCCUUCUCCUGCGGGGCCGGGACCGGGCGCCAUCCAGCAGGAUAGCCGAACCGAGUGCCCGAGCGAGGCAAGGCGAAAUUCCAGUCGGGAUCGCGCCGCCCGGGGCCUGUCCGUGGGCGCCGGUGGCGUUAGCUGGUACACGGACUAAGCAUGUAGGGGUACCGUAUCAAGCAUCUUCGGACGGGGGUUCGAUUCCCCCCGCCUCCACCA